AGAGUUUGAUCCUGGCUCAGAACGAACGCUGGCGGCGUGGCUAAGGCAUGCAAGUCGAACGGACCUAUUCAACGGGUAACUGAAGAGUAGGUCAGUGGCGAACGGGUGAGGAAUUCAUGGAUAACGUGCCCCGGACUCAGGGAUAGCGUUGUGAAAAUGACGGUAAUACCUGAUGACCCCGUAGGACCGCAUGGUCCGGCGGGCAAAGCUCCGACGGUCCGGGAGCGAUUCAUGUCCUAUCAGCUAGUUGGUGAGGUAACGGCUCACCAAGGCGGCGACGGGUAUCGGGCGUGAGAGCGUGACCCGACACAUCGGAACUGAGAUACGGUCCGGACACCUACGGGUGGCUGCAGCAACGAAUAUUCCGCAAUGGACGAAAGUCUGACGGAGCGACGCCGCGUGCAGGAAGAAGUCCCUCGGGAUGUAAACUGCUGUCAGGGGUUAGGAACACAAUGACCAACCCCAGAGGAAGCCACGGCUAACUCCGUGCCAGCAGCCGCGGUAAUACGGAGGUGGCGAGCGUUGUUCGGAAUCACUGGGCUUAAAGCGCGUGUAGGCGGGACGGUAAGUGUCGGGUGAAAGCCCUCGGCUCAACCGAGGAACGGUCUGGCAUACUGUCGUCCUUGAGGCAGACAGAGGUCACUGGAACGACGGGUGGAGCGGUGAAAUGCGUAGAUAUCCGUUGGAACGCCGGCGGCGAAAGCGAGUGACUGGGUCUGUCCUGACGCUGAGACGCGAAAGCGUGGGUAGCAAACAGGAUUAGAUACCCUGGUAGUCCACGCCGUAAACGAUGCGCACUAGGCAUGAGGGGCUCUGACGCCCAUCGCGCCGAAGCAAAAGUGUUAAGUGCGCCGCCUGGGGAGUACGGCCGCAAGGCUAAAACUCAAAGGAAUUGACGG
rnacentral:rRNA from 1 species